rnacentral:rRNA from 1 species
UACGGGGGGAGCAAGCGUUGUUCGGAUUUACUGGGCGUAAAGGGCGCGUAGGCGGUUCGUUAAGUCCUGUGUGAAAUCCCCCGGCUCAACUGGGGAACUGCACAGGAAACUAGCGGGCUUGAGUUCGGGAGAGGGAAGCGGAAUUCCGGGUGUAGCGGUGAAAUGCGUAGAUAUCCAGAGGAACACCGGUGGCGAAGGCGGCUUCCUGGACCGACACUGACGCUGAGGCGCGAAAGCUAGGGGAGCAAACGGG